rnacentral:rRNA from 1 species
CAUGCAGUCGAGCGGUAGAGAGAAGCUUGCUUCUCUUGAGAGCGGCGGACGGGUGAGUAAUGCCUAGGAAUCUGCCUGGUAGUGGGGGAUAACGUUCGGAAACGAACGCUAAUACCGCAUACGUCCUACGGGAGAAAGCAGGGGACCUUCGGGCCUUGCGCUAUCAGAUGAGCCUAGGUCGGAUUAGCUAGUUGGUGAGGUAAUGGCUCACCAAGGCGACGAUCCGUAACUGGUCUGAGAGGAUGAUCAGUCACACUGGAACUGAGACACGGUCCAGACUCCUACGGGAGGCAGCAGUGGGGAAUAUUGGACAAUGGGCGAAAGCCUGAUCCAGCCAUGCCGCGUGUGUGAAGAAGGUCUUCGGAUUGUAAAGCACUUUAAGUUGGGAGGAAGGGCAGUUACCUAAUACGUGAUUGUUUUGACGUUACCGACAGAAUAAGCACCGGCUAACUCUGUGCCAGCAGCCGCGGUAAUACAGAGGGUGCAAGCGUUAAUCGGAAUUACUGGGCGUAAAGCGCGCGUAGGUGGUUUGUUAAGUUGGAUGUGAAAUCCCCGGGCUCAACCUGGGAACUGCAUUCAAAACUGACUGACUAGAGUAUGGUAGAGGGUGGUGGAAUUUCCUGUGUAGCGGUGAAAUGCGUAGAUAUAGGAAGGAACACCAGUGGCGAANGCGACCACCUGGACUAAUACUGACACUGANGUGCGAAAGCGUGGGGAGCCAAC